rnacentral:rRNA from 1 species
CAGGCGGCAUGCUUACCAUGCAGUCGACGAUGAACUGGAGCUUGCUCCAGGGAUUAGUGGCGAACGGGUGAGUAACACGUGAGUAACCUGCCCUUGACUCUGGGAUAAGCGCUAGAAAUGGCGUCUAAUACCGGAUACGAGCUUCAGCCGCAUGGCUAGGAGUUGGAAAGAAUUUUGGUCAAGGAUGGACUCGCGGCCUAUCAGCUAGUUGGUGAGGUAAUGGCUCACCAAGGCGACGACGGGUAGCCGGCCUGAGAGGGUGACCGGCCACACUGGGACUGAGACACGGCCCAGACUCCUACGGGAGGCAGCAGUGGGGAAUAUUGCACAAUGGGCGAAAGCCUGAUGCAGCAACGCCGCGUGAGGGAUGACGGCCUUCGGGUUGUAAACCUCUUUUAGUAGGGAAGAAGCGAAAGUGACGGUACCUGCAGAAAAAGCACCGGCUAACUACGUGCCAGCAGCCGCGGUAAUACGUAGGGUGCAAGCGUUGUCCGGAAUUAUUGGGCGUAAAGAGCUCGUAGGCGGUUUGUCGCGUCUGCUGUGAAAUCUGGGGGCUCAACCCCCAGCCUGCAGUGGGUACGGGCAGACUAGAGUGCGGUAGGGGAGAUUGGAAUUCCUGGUGUAGCGGUGGAAUGCGCAGAUAUCAGGAGGAACACCGAUGGCGAAGGCAGAUCUCUGGGCCGUAACUGACGCUGAGGAGCGAAAGCAUGGGGAGCGAACAGGAUUAGAUACCCUGGUAGUCCAUGCCGUAAACGUUGGGAACUAGAUGUGGGGGCCAUUCCACGGUCUCCGUGUCGCAGCUAACGCAUUAAGUUCCCCGCCUGGGGAGUACGGGCGCAAGGCUAAAACUCAAGAAAUUUGACC